rnacentral:rRNA from 1 species
UGCAGAAUCCCGUGAACCAUCGAGUCUUUGAACGCAAGUUGCGCCCCAAGCCUUCUGGCCGAGGGCACGUCUGCCUGGGCGUCACAAAUCGUCGUCCCCCUCACGACAUGUUGCGAGUGUGGGACGGAAGCUGGUCUCCCGUGUGUUACCGCACGCGGUUGACCAAAAUCUGAGCUGAGGAUGCUGGGAGCGUCCCGACAUGCGGUGGUGAUCUAAAGCCUCUUCAUAUUGCCGGUCGCUCCUGUCCGUAUGCUCUCGUUGACCCAAUGUCCUCAAAGCGACCCCAGGUCAGGCGGGAUCACCCGCUGAGUUUAAGCAUAUCAAUAAGCGGAGGAAAAGAAACUAACAAGGAUUCCCUUAGUAACGGCGAGCGAACCGGGAAGAGCCCAGCUUGAAAAUCGGACGUCUUCGGCGUUCGA